UUUCCAUGAUAUCGGGAACAAAACAUGUUUUUCUUAAAACAAGGUUGAUAUCAUAGGACUUGUGGCUUCUACAGGAUCAUAUGCCAUCGUUUCACAAUCACAUAACUUGUGUCUUGUGUGUGCAAAGAGACAGACGGCAUCUUGUGGGAGCACUGCUAACAGGGUCAGGGUUUUUUUGUUUUGUUUGCACUUUUGGUUGUCCCUGGAUUAGGAUCUUUGCUGCUGAUGGCGAGCCUUCCCACCAGGACCGAGAGAGUGGCAGAGAGAAACAGUAUCUGUAUCUGCAUCUGCUGCGGUCAUUGAACGCAUCCUGUUUCUACUGCACUUGGUGGUGUGAGCUGAAUGGUCCCUGUUUAGACUGACUGGUUCCUGAACGCACCAUGAGCCGUUUACACUGCUAACCUGAAACCACCAGCCGUGGAUAAUUGCAGAGCACUUCCUGGUACAGCUGGUGACAUCACUCCCUACCAGAUGGCAGAAGUCUACACGGAGAUUAUAAAUUACAGGGAAGUUAACGAUGGGAGACAGGAAUGAAACACAAGAGGGACGGUUAUAAAAGGGAUAAACGAAUGGAGAGAUGGGAUGUAGUGUGACAGUACAGCUGUCUUUUUUAAAUUCAGUAAUUAAAGAAUUGAUAAGGUCCUUAAAGGACCAUAUAAAGACCAUUCACAAUGGUACCGCUACAAAAAUAACUGCCAUAAUUCACCAAGGAUAUCAACUGCUGUCACCAAUGCAGCGCCGGCUGCAGGAUGACGCCAAUAAAGUGUUUCACAAUGAUCAGUGUUUAAUGCUUCAUUAGGCUACUAAUCAAAACUCUGGUUUAGUUGAAGUUUCUGGACAAUUAGGACAGGAUUCAGGACAACUACUUGUAAUUCUGGACUGUCCCGGACUGUUCUGGACUGCAUGGAGGUGGUUUUAAGAGUUUAAAGGAAUUAGAAGUAGUGUCCUUUUUAUUGAAAGUAAAGUCUCAGAAUGUCACAUUGUAUAGAAUGGAAAUGAAUGGAAACCAAUGGCUGCCUAAAAAGGAAGGAAAGUACAGAUUCAUAAUACAAUAUUAAUAUUCAAUAAACAGCUACUGCAAAGGCAA